AUACGGAGGGUGCAAGCGUUGUUGGGAAUUACUGGGCGUAAAGCGCGUGCAGGCGGUAAGGUAAGUCAGAUGUGAAAGCCCCGGGCUCAACCCGGGAAGUGCAUUUGAUACUGCCUUUCUUGAGUAUGGGAGAGGAGAGUGGAAUUCCCGGUGUAGAGGUGAAAUUCGUAGAUAUUGGGAGGAACACCCGUGGCGAAGGCGACUCUCUGGACCAAUACUGACGCUGAGACGCGAAAGCGUGGGUAGCAAACAGGAUUAGAAACCCCGGUAGUCC
rnacentral:rRNA from 1 species